rnacentral:rRNA from 1 species
GACGAACGCCGGCGGCGUGCCUAAUACAUGCAAGUCGAACGCUUUUUCUUUCACCGGAGCUUGCUCCACCGAAAGAAAAAGAGUGGCGAACGGGCGAGUAACACGUGGGUAACCUGCCCAUCAGAAGGGGAUAACACUUGGAAACAGGUGCUAAUACCGUAUAACACUAUUUUCCGCAUGGAAGAAAGUUGAAAGGCGCUUUUGCGUCACUGAUGGAUGGACCCGCGGUGCAUUAGCUAGUUGGUGAGGUAACGGCUCACCAAGGCAACGAUGCAUAGCCGACCUGAGAGGGUGAUCGGCCACACUGGGACUGAGACACGGCCCAGACUCCUACGGGAGGUAGCAGUAGGGAAUCUUCGGCAAUGGACGAAAGUCUGACCGAGCAACGCCGCGUGAGUGAAGAAGGUUUUCGGAUCGUAAAACUCUGUUGUUAGAGAAGAACAAGGAUGAGAGUAAAACGUUCAUCCCUUGACGGUAUCUAACCAGAAAGCCACGGCUAACUACGUGCCAGCAGCCGCCGUAA